GUCAUGCCGUAAACGAAUGUCAACUAGCCGUUGGGGACCGUUGAGUCUUUAGUUGGCGCAGCUAACGCGAUAAGUUGACCGCCUGGGGAGGUACGGCCGCAAGGUUAAAACUCAAAUGAAUUGACGGGGGCCCCGCACAAGCGGUGGAGUAUGUGGUUUAAUUCGAUGCAACGCGAAGAACCUUACCUGGCCUUGACAUAUCCGGAACCCUGCAGAGAUGCGGGGGUGCCUUCGGGAAUCGGAAUACAGGUGCUGCAUGGCUGUCGU
rnacentral:rRNA from 1 species